AGAGGAUUUUUGGACCCAUCUGCCAAUUGGAUAUUGUUGGUGACAUUACGUUCAAUUCCCAGCCAAAACCAAAGUUGGACUGGGUACAGGUCGAUUAAACCUGAUACAGGUCUCGUUUUCAUAUUAACUGAUGUCCAGUGACUUGCUCUGUUUAUCCUCCACAGUUUGUCACAACUCCAACACUGUGUACGUAUUUUUGCUGACAUAUUGGUGCUCAGAGAUCUCUCUGGUGGCAUUAACCAUGGACUUACAUGUUUUAAAAUACGACCUUCACACUUUGACUCUGAAAUUAUCUUCACGAGAAGGAUUUCCAACAGCCAGUUUCACAGCUAUGUGAGAGGU